GAGGGUAUAGCUCAGUGGUAGAGCACAUGCUUAGCAUACACAAGGUCCUGGGCUCCAUCCCCAGUCCCUCCU
rnacentral:tRNA from 1 species